UAUAAGUAGAAAGAAAAUAAUAAUACAAGAAAAUGUAAAGCUUCAACCUUACAGAGGUUGGCAUAUGAAAGCUUAGAAUAAAAACAACUUUUCCUGAGAAACUAACUAAUGCGCUGAGAUACAAAGAGUGGGAAAAUUUAGCCCAAGUAGAAGGAAAGGACUACUGUCCAAGAAAGACAGUGCAUCUGUAACUAUCAUCUGGAAGGCAGCAGCUAUUGGGAAUGUUUGAGGGUUUGUGGGUCUCUGGUUGUCCUGCUCCUGAUGUCACCAACAUCUAGUGUCAAGUCUGGCCCUUCCAGAGAAGCAGACAAUGGGAAACUUGCACCAAGAUGGACUAGAGAAGGAGGGAGAAGUCACUUACAGAAGAAACAGAUAGCCGCCACAGGUUCCCGCUCUAAGGAACUGCACAGGCUGCUCUUCUGUGACCCGCCUGGAAGCAAAAGAGAGCUCUGGGGUGAGGACCCUGGAUCUAGUCCUCUCUCCAUCACAUCCUCCGUGAUCAGCCAUGGCGUGGUCAGUGCUACAGGUGUGGGCAGGGUGGAUAUCACACUACACAGAAGUUCACUCUAUUCUUCUUCCAAGGGUGCUUACACCUUCCUCAUCACAGAACAAGGGGACUCCUUGUGAUUAAUAGGUAUCCUAGGAAGAGGCCCAGGGAGUUCAGACUGAUCCAGCCUUAUGUCAGGAGACUUAUACAACAGCUAAUACCUUGGCAACAUCUAUGAGGCAUAAACUUCAAGGAGAGAUGCUCUUUCCAUCCCAGUUGUUCCUGGGAACAUCCAGAAGAUGUGGAAGUAUCUAGCCAAAUGCUGCAGCCACCACCACAGUGACACAGAAAACCUUUCUUUUGCAUGUUUUCAAGGAGAGGCAUAUGUUCUAACAUCAUACCACAUCCAGUUAUGAUUAGACUAUGGUUCUUAAGGA
rnacentral:lncRNA from 1 species